rnacentral:rRNA from 1 species
CCUACGGGAGGCAGCAGUGAGGAAUAUUGGACAAUGGGCGCAAGCCUGAUCCAGCCAUGCCGCGUGCAGGAAGACGCAUCUAUGGUGUGUAAACUGCUUUUGUACGGGAAGAAACACUCCUACGUGUAGGAGCUUGACGGUACCGUAAGAAUAAGGAUCGGCUAACUCCGUGCCAGCAGCCGCGGUAAUACGGAGGAUCCAAGCGUUAUCCGGAAUCAUUGGGUUUAAAGGGUCCGUAGGCGGUUUGAUAAGUCAGUGGUGAAAGCCCAUCGCUCAACGAUGGAACGGCCAUUGAUACUGUCAGACUUGAAUUAUUAGGAAGUAACUAGAAUAUGUAGUGUAGCGGUGAAAUGCUUAGAUAUUACAUGGAAUACCAAUUGCGAAGGCAGGUUACUACUAAUGGAUUGACGCUGAUGGACGAAAGCGUGGGGAGCGAACAGGAUUAGAUACCCUGGUAGUCCACGCCGUAAACGAUGGAUACUAGCUGUUCGGAGCAAUCUGAGUGGCUAAGCGAAAGUGAUAAGUAUCCCACCUGGGGAGUACGUUCGCAAGAAUGAAACUUAAAGGAAUUGACGG